ACUCCGGGCCUCCCGCCGGGAUCCGACGCGCCCGGUGGGGUAAGCGGAGUGACGUGACUUGAUGGACACACGCCAUUCACAGCCCCCGUCACGAUGCCUCCCUUCCAGCGCUUCGUGUGCAGCGCGUGCUGCACCCUCAUUUCGUCUCCUCCACGGCCUCACUGGCAGUAGCCUGAGCCGCAGUAACUGACCUGGGGGCUCCCACCAGGUUGGCCUGGCUCCAGAGCUGUCAGAGAUUUUGGGAUUGCCUUUCCCCCAUGCUAUCCUGUCCUCAUCCAUCACCACCUGAAUCUCCCUUGCCGUCUCUUGUCAUAGGAUCCCCAGAUGGACCCAGAUCCAGUUCGUGGCUAUUGGUUCUGGAAGGGGGCCAUCCUCACCUGGAUCCUCCAGUACCAAACAUAACAGAGUCUA
rnacentral:lncRNA from 1 species